rnacentral:rRNA from 1 species
GACGAACGCUGGCGGCGUGCUUAACACAUGCAAGUCGAACGGAAAGUCCCUGCUUUUGUGGGGUGCUCGAGUGGCGAACGGGUGAGUAACACGUGAGUAACCUGCCCUUGACUUUGGGAUAACUUCAGGAAACUGGGGCUAAUACCGGAUAGGAGCUCCUGCUGCAUGGUGGGGGUUGGAAAGUUUCGGCGGUUGGGGAUGGACUCGCGGCUUACCAGCUCGUUGGUGGGGUAGUGGCUUACCAAGGCUUUGACGGGUAGCCGGCCUGAGAGGGUGACCGGCCACAUUGAGACUGAGAUACGGCCCAGACUCCUACGGGAGGCAAGCGUGGGGAAUAUUGCACAAUGGGCGGAAGCCUGAUGCAGAAACGCCGCGUGCGGGAUGACGGCCUUCGGGUUGUAAACCGCUUUCGCCUGUGACGAAGCGUGAGUGACGGUAAUGGGUAAAGAAGCACCGGCUAACUACGUG